GCCGGAGUGGCGGAAUUGGCAGACGCGCACGACUCAAAAUCGUGUUCCCUCGGGAUUGUGGGUUCGAUUCCCACCUUCGGCACCA
rnacentral:tRNA from 1 species